GGUUGUGGCUCAGUGGUAGAGCACUUGCCUAGCAUGCAUGAGGCACUGGGUUCGAUCCCUGGCACCA
rnacentral:tRNA from 1 species